UACAGAGGGGGCAAGCGUUGUUCGGAAUUACUGGGCGUAAAGGGCGCGUAGGCGGCCUCCUAAGUCAGACGUGAAAUCCCUCGGCUCAACCGGGGAACUGCGUCUGAUACUGAGAGGCUUGAAUCCGGGAGAGGGAUGUGGAAUUCCAGGUGUAGCGGUGAAAUGCGUAGAUAUCUGGAGGAACACCGGUGGCGAAGGCGGCAUCCUGGACCGAGAUUGACGCUGAUGCGCGAAAGCCAGGGGAGCGAACGGG
rnacentral:rRNA from 1 species